GACGAACGCUGGCGGCGUGCUUAACACAUGCAAGUCGAACGAUGAACCCGGAGCUUGCUCCGGCGGAUUAGUGGCGAACGGGUGAGUAACACGUGAGUAACCUGCCCUUGACUCUGGGAUAACGGCGGGAAACUGUAGCUAAUACCGGAUACGACCCUCGGCGGCAUCGCCAGGGGGUGGAAAGAAUUUCGGUCAAGGAUGGACUCGCGGCCUAUCAGCUAGUUGGUGAGGUAACGGCUCACCAAGGGGACGACGGGUAGCCGGCCUGAGAGGGUGGCCGGCCACACUGGGACAGAGACACGGCCCAGACUCCUACGGGAGGCAGCAGUGGUGAAUAUUGCACAAUGGGCGCAAGCCUGAUGCAGCAACGCCGCGUGAGGGAUGACGGCCUUCGGGUUGUAAACCUCUUUUAGCAGGGAAGAAGCGAAAGUGACGGUACCUGCAGAAAAAGCACCGGCUAACUACGUGCCAGCCGCCGCCGUAA
rnacentral:rRNA from 1 species